GGCCGAGGGAAAUCUGGAAGAGUCAGAAGAUCUGUCAGCGACCUCGGGGGACCUGAAGUAUUGUGUCCCCACCCCAGCCAUCUGCCAAGUCCGAUGGACGAUAAGAUGGGACAAGUCUCAGGCAGCUGGUGUCUUGGAGUCGGAAAACUAUUUCUGAAGUCUGCUCUGCCAUUUACUAGCCUUGUGACCUGGGGAACUCAAGCAGCACCGGGGAGCUGUACUUUGGAAAGUGUACAGGGAUAAGUCCUGGAGGCCUCUGCCUUCUCUCCAUACCUGCCACGCGCACAUGGAUGUCAUAGUGUGCUUCUCCAAACUCAUUCUGAAGCAAGAUUCGGUACACCCCUGAGUCAGAGCGCUUGGUGCUAUUAAUGAGGAACUGGGAGUGGUUUUUGCUCUUGGUAAUUGUUUCUCGGCCCUUGGUGGGAACGCCAUCUUUCUGCCAGAUCACGUCAGGUGGUGGUGAGCCCUGAGUAGUGACAGGAGAUGGCACAAUUGGUCACGCAGAUGAUAUUUGGGGGCAGGCCUUCCUCCGUUGUCGAGGAGUUUCCUGCCAGGCUGUCGCUCUAGGGGUCUGGUGAGGGGCAGAGUCACAGUCAGAGUCAGAGACUGUGAUGGCUACAAUAGCCAUCUUGGUUAUGUGGAGAGCGUAUGGGGGUCAGGGUCAGGGCCAACUCACGGAGAAGGCUGCAUGGAUGCAGAGGGCUGUCCCAGCGCGAACCACCAUGUGACUCUUCAGCCGGGCACUGAGGUCAAACUUGGGUGCAGCUGAGAUGGAGGAGACAGAGGUGGAGGCAUGGAUCUCUCUUUCAAGAAGACUCGGCUUAAAGCCUCCUCAUGAGAGCCUUCCCAACCUCUCCUCUUUUAUGCCCCCACUACAGGCCAUACAGACAUCUAGCUGCCCUGCAACACUGUGAAGCAUUUAUUUGUUUUCUCAUCUGUCUCGUUCUACUAGUAUGCAAGACGCUGGAAGGCAAGUCCUGUGUCUUGUUUCUAUAUCCCUAACACCUUCUUUUGAAAUUGCCAUUGCAACAAUUAUAACAGCGAGAAAAUUAUGACAGUGAACGAGAUCUGAUCUAACCAACCCGCAUCUUGCCUUUAACCUCCAAACUGCCCUUAAUCAUUCCUGGUUUCAGACCAAGCUAAUGUUGGGAGAGACAGUUUAUAGUUUAGAUGAUAAGAGUCCUUCCCCCAAACUAGAUCACCUUUGCGAAGCUAAUGAAAGGCCACCAGGUUAGGAGGAUGUGAGGAGCCUGAAUUCUGCUAAGGUGUAGACAUAAAAGAUUAUCAGUCAUUAUUCCAGAGGUCACAAGAUUUGCAACUCCCCAGCUGCUCCUGCAAAUAACAUCACUAUUGUAGAACCUAAGAUUGGUCGUUGAGAUGUCUUUUCAGGUUUUUGCAUUUCUGAUGACUGAUGGCUCCACCUGGACCUGCUGACCCUCCACCCCACAAGUCCUGUGGCCCCACUCAGAAGCAGGCUUCCUGGGCUCUGAAUUUUCGGGGAGUUGAUUUGGGUAAUAACUCCGUCUCCCAUACAGCAUGGCUGGCCUUGUGUCCAUUAAACUCUUUGUUGCAA